CCUAAGUAUGGCUGGCAGUCUUGACACCACUGGGGGACCGGAAACUUGAGGCCGAGCAGACCCCUCCUUCUCCCAACAGCUCUUACCACCACCACCACCCCUGGUAGGGUGACCCAACGUGGUGCCAAUAACCAGGCCUUGAUGACUUACAAGCAAAAGCUAGACUUCCUCCAAGAUCCCAUCUUCAAAGUGUCAAGGUGUAAAGUACAUCAGUUUUGGAAUGCUGUGGAAGGAGUACAUUCAACUCUGAAGUACAGACAUUCUGAGGAUGCUAGCAUGCCCGCUGUCAUUCAAUGACAGAAUGCUGAACUGAUGCUAAAGCUGAUGCAAGCCUAGUUAAUGUCCUAUGGUCCAGAAAACUGACCUUUGGAGUUACAGUUGGCAUUGGUAACAACUUGUCUGUAUGGGUUAUAAACUGUUCGUUUUUUUCUAUCAGACAGCAUUUGCAACUUACCAGUCUCUUAAGAUGACUUAUAAAUUUGUAAGGAGUGGGCUUUGAUCAUUAAAAAAUAGUAUUCCCCUCCUCCA